UGCAGUCUUUGAGCAUAGUUGGCCAAUACAAGCCUUGUCGAAAUAAGAGCCAUUUCAUUUUGUGGCCUGCUUGGUGUGUCCCGCAUGUUCCAUCAUGAGUAUUGGAAACAGCCAGAUACGCGUCUGUUUCUCCUAGGCAUUUCAAUAAAACUCCUUCUGAAGUCUUUUUGAAUAGCUCACUACCCAUUAUCACAUAGCUCAGGGACCUGUAUUUCACUUUUCGAGGGGUG
rnacentral:lncRNA from 1 species